rnacentral:rRNA from 1 species
GAAUAUUGCGCAAUGGACGAAAGUCUGACGCAGCAACGCCGCGUGAGUGAAGAAGGCUGUUGGGGUGUAAAGCUCUUUCGGCGGGGGAGAAGGGGUAGGGGGUUAAUAGUAUCCGACUCUGAUGGUACCAGAAGAAGAAACACCGGCUAACUGCGUGCCAGCAGCCGCGGUAAUACGAAGGGUGCAAGCGUUGUUCGGAAUUACUGGGCGUAAAGGGUUUGUAGGCUGGAAUAUAAGUCAAGUGUGAAAUCCCCGAGCUAAACUUGGGACGUGCAUUUGAAACUGUGUUUCUUGAGUAUCGUAGAGGGUGGUGGAAUUGUAGGUGUAGGAGUGACAUCCGUAGAGAUCUGCAGGAACAUCAGAGGCGAAGGCGACCACCUGGCCGAUUACUGACGCUGAGGAACGAAAGCGUGGGGAGCAAACAGG